rnacentral:rRNA from 1 species
AGAGUUUGAUCCUGGCUCAGGAUGAACGCUGGCGGCGUGCCUAACACAUGCAAGUCGAGCGAUUCUCUUCGGAGAAGAGCGGCGGACGGGUGAGUAACGCGUGGGUAACCUGCCCUGUACACACGGAUAACAUACCGAAAGGUAUGCUAAUACGAGAUAAUAUGCUUUUAUCGCAUGGUAGAAGUAUCAAAGCUCCGGCGGUACAGGAUGGACCCGCGUCUGAUUAGCUAGUUGGUAAGGUAGCGGCUUACCAAGGCGACGAUCAGUAGCCGACCUGAGAGGGUGAUCGGCCACAUUGGAACUGAGACACGGUCCAAACUCCUACGGGAGGCAGCAGUGGGGAAUAUUGCACAAUGGGCGAAAGCCUGAUGCAGCAACGCCGCGUGAGCGAUGAAGGCCUUCGGGUCGUAAAGCUCUGUCCUCAAGGAAGAUAAUGACGGUACUUGAGGAGGAAGCCCCGGCUAACUACGUG